GUGCCAGCCGCCGCGGUAAUACGUAGGGUGCAAACGUUGCUCGGAAUCAUUGGGCGUAAAGCGCGCGUAGGCGGCUGUGAAAGUUGGAUGUGAAAGCCCUGGGCUCAACCCAGGAAGUGCAUCCAAAACUUCAUAGCUUGAGUCUCGGAGGGGCCCAGAGAAUUCCCGGUGUAGAGGUGAAAUUCGUAGAUAUCGGGAGGAAUACCAGUGGCGAAGGCGCUGGGCUGGACGACGACUGACGCUGAGGUGCGAAAGCGUGGGGAGCAAACAGGAUUAGAUACCCUCGUAGUCC
rnacentral:rRNA from 1 species